rnacentral:sRNA from 2 species
UCGAACAGAUAGCCGAGCUCUGCCACUGUCCGAGAUCCGUUCGCAAAAUCGCAUGGCAGAGGCGGGGGAACCAAUUUCGGGUUUCGCAAGAAGCCCUAGGGGUUAAGUUGCCGGACUUAGCAGUCCAGCAACCGGGUGACUCCCAUCCGAAUCCGACAGCUCACCUCGUAGGCAUUGGGAGAGGCAAA